AAAAAAGAGUUUUUUUGCACAUACGAUUGUCCCUUUUAAAAAAAUAUUCAACAUAUAUGAGAGGGAUAUAAAUAAGACAUUUUAUGGCUUCAAAUGACAAAGGAACGGAAUCUUUUAACAGCAUCAAGAACAAAAUGUGAACGAAUCUUUUGGGUUAUCAAAAAAAUUACACACACACACACACACACCUCAGAGAGCCACUGUAGUUAUACUUUAAGUCAUUCUUUGGUUUAUGUAAUUUUGGCAUAGUUGACUUUACAUUAAUAUAGUUUUAAAAAUACAUCCAGACACACACACAC